rnacentral:rRNA from 1 species
AGUGAACGCUGGCGGUAGGCCUAACACAUGCAAGUCGAACGGCAGCACAGGAGAGCUUGCUCUCUGGGUGGCGAGUGGCGGACGGGUGAGGAGUACAUCGGAAUCUACUCUGUCGUGGGGGAUAACGUAGGGAAACUUGCGCUAAUACCGCAUACGACCUACGGGUGAAAGCAGGGGACCUUCGGGCCUUGCGCGAUUGAAUGAGCCGAUGUCGGAUUAGCUAGUUGGCGGGGUAAAGGCCCACCAAGGCGACGAUCCGUAGCUGGUCUGAGAGGAUGAUCAGCCACACUGGAACUGAGACACGGUCCAGACUCCUACGGGAGUCAGCAGUGGGGAAUAUUGGACAAUGGGCGCAAGCCUGAUCCAGCCAUACCGCGUGGGUGAAGAAGGCCUUCGGGUUGUAAGGCCCUUUUGUUGGGAAAGAAAUCCAGCUGGCUAAUACCCGGUUGGGAUGACGGUACCCAAAGAAUAAGCACCGGCUAACUUCGUGCCAGCAGCCGCCGUAA